rnacentral:rRNA from 2 species
GGGUUGUGAGGUUAAGCGACUAAGCGUACACGGUGGAUGCCCUGGCAGUCAGAGGCGAUGAAGGGCGUGCUAAUCUGCGAUAAGCGCCGGUAAGGUGAUAUGAACCGUUAUAACCGGCGAUACCCGAAUGGGGAAACCCAGUGUGAUUCGUCACACUAUCAUUAACUGAAUCCAUAGGUUAAUGAGGCGAACCGGGGGAACUGAAACAUCUAAGUAGCCCGAGGAAAAGAAAUCAACCGAGAUUCCCCCAGUAGCGGCGAGCGAACGGGGAGGAGCCCAGAGCCUGAAUCAGCAUGUGUGUUAGUGGAAGCGUCUGGAAAGGCGCGCGAUACAGGGUGACAGCCCCGUACACAAAAGCGCAUGUGCUGUGAGCUCGAUGAGUAGGGCGGGACACGUGGUAUCCUGUCUGAAUAUGGGGGGACCAUCCUCCAAGGCUAAAUACUCCUGACUGACCGAUAGUGAACCAGUACCGUGAGGGAAAGGCGAAAAGAACCCCGGCGAGGGGAGUGAAAAAGAACCUGAAACCGUGUACGUACAAGCAGUGGGAGCCCCACCACUAAGCCAGUGGUGAACUCCACAUCCGCAUCCUUUGCUGAGGAUACGGUUAACGGAGCGAAAGCGACGUUCAACCGCAAAACAAGCAGAGGGGGCUUAGUGGUGGGGUGACUGCGUACCUUUUGUAUAAUGGGUCAGCGACUUAUAUUCUGUAGCAAGGUUAACCG